AAAAAAGGUAAGCUACUAAGAGCGAAUGGUGGAUGCCUUGACUGGUAAAGGCGAUGAAGGACGUACUAGACUGCGAUAAGCUACGGGGAGCUGUCAAGAAGCUUUGAUCCGUAGAUUUCCGAAUGGGGCAACCCAAUGUAUAGAGAUAUACAUUACCUAUAUAGGAGCGAACGAGGGGAAUUGAAACAUCUUAGUACCCUCAGGAAAAGAAAUCAAUAGAGAUUGCGUCAGUAGCGGCGAGCGAAAGCGCAAGAGGGCAAACCCAGUGCUUGCACUGGGGGUUGUAGGACUGCAAUGUGCAAGAGGUAAGUUUAGCAGAACAUUCUGGAAAGUAUAACCAUAGAGGGUGAUAGUCCCGUAUGCGAAAAACAAACCUUAGCUAGCAGUAUCCUGAGUAGGGCGGGACACGAGGAAUCCUGUCUGAAUCCGGGUCGACCACGAUCCAACCCUAAAUACUAAUACCAGAUCGAUAGUGCACAAGUACCGUGAGGGAAAGGUGAAAAGAACUGAGGUGAUCAGAGUGAAAUAGAACCUGAAACCAUUUGCUUACAAUCAUUCAGAGCCCUAUGUAGCAAUACAGGGUGAUGGACUGCCUUUUGCAUAAUGAGCCUGCGAGUUGUGGUGUCUGGCAAGGUUAAGCAAACGCGAAGCCGUAGCGAAAGCGAGUCUGAAUAGGGCGCUUAGUCAGAUGCUGCAGACCCGAAACGAAGUGAUCUAUCCAUGAGCAAGUUGAAGCUAGUGUAAGAACUAGUGGAGGACUGAACCCAUAGGCGUUGAAAAGCCCCGGGAUGACUUGUGGAUAGGGGUGAAAGGCCAAUCAAACUUCGUGAUAGCUGGUUCUCUCCGAAAUAUAUUUAGGUAUAGCGUUGUGUCGUAAUAUAAGGGGGUAGAGCACUGAAUGGGCUAGGGCAUACACCAAUGUACCAAACCCUAUCAAACUCCGAAUACCUUAUAUGUAAUCACAGCAGUCAGGCGGCGAGUGAUAAAAUCCGUCGUCAAGAGGGAAACAACCCAGACUACCAGCUAAGGUCCCUAAAUCUUACUUAAGUGGAAAACGAUGUGAAGUUACUUAAACAACCAGGAGGUUGGCUUAGAAGCAGCCAUCCUUUAAAGAAAGCGUAAUAGCUCACUGGUCUAGUGAUUUUGCGCGGAAAAUAUAACGGGGCUAAAGUAAGUACCGAAGCUGUAGACUUGCACACAACUUAGAUUAUUUAAGUUUAGAAUAUGAGAAACUAAGUUAUAUGUUUAGUUAUAUUUUUACUGAUUUUUAUAGAGUAAAGAUAGAAAUAAAACUUAGUAAAAUCAGUAAAAAUAUUCUUAGACUAAAGUUAAGUAGUUUAAGUUGUGUGCAAGUGGUAGGAGAGCGUUCUAUUUGCGUCGAAGGUAUACCGGUAAGGAGUGCUGGAGCGAAUAGAAGUGAGCAUGCAGGCAUGAGUAGCGAUAAUUAAUGUGAGAAUCAUUAACGCCGUAAACCCAAGGUUUCCUACGCGAUGCUCGUCAUCGUAGGGUUAGUCGGGUCCUAAGUCGAGUCCGAAAGGGGUAGACGAUGGCAAAUUGGUUAAUAUUCCAAUACCAACAUUAGUGUGCGAUGGAAGGACGCUUAGGGCUAAGGGGGCUAGCGGAUGGAAGUGCUAGUCUAAGGUCGUAGGAGGUUAUACAGGCAAAUCCGUAUAACAAUACUCCGAGAACUGAAAGGCUUUUUGAAGUCUUCGGAUGGAUAGAAGAACCCCUGAUGCCGUCGAGCCAAGAAAAGUUUCUAAGUUUAGCUAAUGUUGCCCGUACCGUAAACCGACACAGGUGGGUGGGAUGAGUAUUCUAAGGCGCGUGGAAGAACUCUCUUUAAGGAACUCUGCAAAAUAGCACCGUAUCUUCGGUAUAAGGUGUGGUUAGCUUUGUAUUAGGAUUUACUCCGAAAGCAAGGAAACUUACAACAAAGAGUCCCUCCCGACUGUUUACCAAAAACACAGCACUCUGCUAACUCGUAAGAGGAUGUAUAGGGUGUGACGCCUGCCCGGUGCUCGAAGGUUAAUUGAUGGGGUUAGCAUUAGCGAAGCUCUUGAUCGAAGCCCGAGUAAACGGCGGCCGUAACUAUAACGGUCCUAAGGUAGCGAAAUUCCUUGUCGGUUAAAUAUCGACCUGCAUGAAUGGCGUAACGAGAUGGGAGCUGUCUCAAAGAGGGAUCCAGUGAAAUUGUAGUGGAGGUGAAAAUUCCUCCUACCCGCGGCAAGACGGAAAGACCCCGUGGACCUUUACUACAGCUUGACACUGCUACUUGGAUAAGAAUGUGCAGGAUAGGUGGGAGGCUUUGAGUAUAUGACGCCAGUUGUAUAUGAGCCAUUGUUGAGAUACCACUCUUUCUUAUUUGGGUAGCUAACCAGCUUGAGUUAUCCUCAAGUGGGACAAUGUCUGGUGGGUAGUUUGACUGGGGCGGUCGCCUCCCAAAUAAUAACGGAGGCUUACAAAGGUUGGCUCAGAACGGUUGGAAAUCGUUCGUAGAGUAUAAAGGUAUAAGCCAGCUUAACUGCAAGACAUACAAGUCAAGCAGAGACGAAAGUCGGUCUUAGUGAUCCGGUGGUUCUGUGUGGAAGGGCCAUCGCUCAAAGGAUAAAAGGUACCCCGGGGAUAACAGGCUGAUCUCCCCCAAGAGCUCACAUCGACGGGGAGGUUUGGCACCUCGAUGUCGGCUCAUCGCAUCCUGGGGCUGGAGCAGGUCCCAAGGGUAUGGCUGUUCGCCAUUUAAAGCGGUACGCGAGCUGGGUUCAGAACGUCGUGAGACAGUUCGGUCCCUAUCUGCCGUGGGCGUAAGAAGAUUGAAGAGAUUUGACCCUAGUACGAGAGGACCGGGUUGAACAAACCACUGGUGUAGCUGUUGUUCUGCCAAGAGCAUCGCAGCGUAGCUAAGUUUGGAAAGGAUAAACGCUGAAAGCAUCUAAGCGUGAAGCCAACUCUAAGAUGAAUCUUCUCUAAGCUCUCUAGAAGACUACUAGUUUGAUAGGCUGGGUGUGUAAUGGAUGAAAGUCCUUUAGCUGACCAGUACUAAUAGAGCGUUUGGCUUAUCUUUAAUAAAGCAU
rnacentral:rRNA from 1 species